rnacentral:rRNA from 1 species
CCCUUAGAUGUUCUGGGCCGCACGUGCGCUACACUGACAGGGCCGACGAGUUCAUCACCUCGGCCGGAAGGUCUGGGUAAUCUUGUUAAACCCUGUCGUGCUGGGGAUAGAGCAUUGCAAUUAUUGCUCUUCAACGAGGAAUGCCUAGUAAGCGCAUGUCAUCAGCAUGCGUUGAUUACGUCCCUGCCCUUUGUACACACCGCCCGUCGCUACUACCGAUUGAAUGGCUCAGUGAGGCCUUCGGACUGGCCCAGGGAGGUCGGCAACGACCACCCAGGGCCGGAAAGUUGGUCAAACUCGGUCAUUUAGAGGAAGUAAAAGUCGUAACA